CCUACGGGGGGCAGCAGUGAGGAAUAUUGGUCAAUGGGCUUACGCCUGAACCAGCCAAGUCGCGUGAGGGAAGACUGCCCUAUGGGUUGUAAACCUCUUUUGUCAGGGAGCAAUUGGCGCUACGUGUAGCGUUAUCGAGAGUACCUGAAGAAAAAGCAUCGGCUAACUCCGUGCCAGCAGCCGCGGUAAUACGGAGGAUGCGAGCGUUAUCCGGAUUUAUUGGGUUUAAAGGGUGCGUAGGCGGAAUGCCAAGUCAGCGGUAAAAUUGAGAGGCUCAACCUCUUCGAGCCGUUGAAACUGGUUGUCUUGAGUGAGCGAGAAGUAUGCGGAAUGCGUGGUGUAGCGGUGAAAUGCAUAGAUAUCACGCAGAACUCCGAUUGCGAAGGCAGCAUACCGGCGCUCAACUGACGCUCAUGCACGAAAGUGUGGGUAUCGAACAGGAUUAGAUACCCUGGUAGUC
rnacentral:rRNA from 1 species